GACGAACGCUGGCGGCGCGCUUAACACAUGCAAGUCGAACGGAAAGGCCUGCUUUCCCUUGUGGAUUGCGGGUACUCGAGUGGCGAACGGGUGAGUAACACGUGAGUGAUCUGCCCCCAACUUGGGUAUAAGCCUGGGAAACUGGGUCUAAUUCCCGAUAGGACUGCAGGGUGGUGCCUGUGGUGGAAAACGAUUUUCUAGUGGUUGGGGAUGAGCUCGCGGCCUAUCAGCUUGUUGGUGGGGUAAUGGCCUACCAAGGCGGCGACGGGUAGCCGGCCUGAGAGGGUGGACGGCCACAUUGGGACUGAGAUACGGCCCAGACUCCUACGGGAGGCAGCAGUGGGGAAUAUUGCACAAUGGGCGGAAGCCUGAUGCAGCGACGCCGCGGGGGGGAUGACGGCCUUCGGGUUGUAAACUCCUUUCGACCGCGAGGAAGCCACCUGGUUGGAAGGGUGGUGACGGUAGUGGUAGAAGAAGCACCGGCUAACUACGUG
rnacentral:rRNA from 1 species